UUGUGAAUCAAGCAGCUCGUUUUAAUCAGUUUAGAAAAUUAAAAGGUUUAAAUAAAGAUGAGCGCUAGAAAAAGAAUGAGCUAAAACAAAGUGAAGUGACAUUAUAUAUAUUUAAAUAUAUUAGUUGAGGUUGAGAGUUUAUGUUCACUUAUUUCAGUUUAAAAGACAUUUUUGUCAGACACUUGUCUCAGAAACCCAUAGCUAUUCAAAGGCGUCAAAAUUUUAAUACGCAUAAUACAGGUCUUUAAACGUCAAUAAAAAACGCUGAGAUAUGAAAUGUUUUUUUAAAAUAAUAUUACUCUGUAGAAGUUACUGAAAUACCUGUUACUUCGAUAAAGUUUUCAUUCUAUUAAUAAAGAAGACGCAGAAGGUUUGUAUUAUUCAUUGGCGAUGUUGAAGAUGCAGAAGUUUGCUAAAAAUGAUAUAAAUGAAGAAGAAUUGGUGCAUGUCUUUCCACCUGAAGAAGUGAAUGCAUACAGAAAGAGAGUGGUACAUCUUCUAUUAGAUAAAGGAGUUACAUAUGACUAAACAAGCGAAAAAUUACCAAUCACAAACGUUUAUUCAGACUUUUUUUGAAUCAACAACAGUAAGACCUGAUAAAUUUAGCAGUAAACAGAUUUCAGAAAAGUCUUUGUCCUACCAGGUGAUUUUCAUGAUGAUUGUGAUGAUGAUAUGAUAUACGUGGUAAUGAUGAACAUAUGUAAUUUAGAUGGUGAUCAUCAUAUCAUGAUGUUGGUUCAUUUUCAGUAUUUUAUAGCGAUGUAUAUUAUCGCAAUUUUGUAUAUUUAAGUUCAGAAACUGACACUCCACAGUUACUAAAAAAAAAGAAGGUCGUCAAUAAUAAAAAAAGACAUUUGCUCCAGCUCGUGCUAUUCCUCCUUUAACAUUUUUAUGUAUUGAAAAUUUGACUUCUUCAGAUCAUUUAAAAUUAAAUAACUUUUCAUAACAAGGCUCUGCUUCUGAAGUUUGAGAAAAGGAUGUAUUUUUAUACUUUUUUUAUUUGAAUAUUCUUUUUUAUUUUUGUAACUGAAUUCCAAUAUGUUCUGAAACAAUCUUUUAGUUAGUUUAUGUAAAUACGACACAAAUAUGCAUGAAGUUAAAUUGAUGGACAUUUGUCUAAGUCAUUGCUUUUUUUCGAAAGCAAUGACUUAGACAACUGAUGGGAUGGAGACCAAUCCACUUCUAUGGUAUUGUAUUUUAUUGACUAGAAAGUUUUUUUUUUAUUAAUGAAGAAUUUAUUUAAAAGAGUGCUUUAUAAGGUGACAAUUUUUAAUUUAUUUUUAGCGCUUUAAUUCUAAAAAAUGUGCUUUGAUUGAAGAAAAAUGAAAAUGUUUUGUUGUUGCCUAUUGAGGUGAAAUCAACUUAUUUGCGUGCUUAUCAGUUGCUGGAUGAAUUAAAGCUCUCAUAGCUCCCUAAAUCAGUAUUACAUCAUCAGUUGCAUCUAAUGCUAAAAUUAAAGCAUAUAGUAAGCAUUAGUAAACUGAAUUUAACUGUUUCAUUAUUGUUAAUUUUUUGUUAUUUUAGUUUUUGGGGUCUUAAGUGAGAUCCAUUGGAUGUUUAUCUGUGAUGGUUUUUUGCGAAUGUGAGCAAAAACACACUUCAUUGGAUUGCUUAAUAGUAAUCUUGCAAUUUUCUCUUGGAGUUAUUUUUAUAACAAUUUUUUUUUUCGAUAAUAAUAUGAACUUGUCUUAUGUUUAAAUAUUGUUUUAAAUUUUAUAUCUAGUGUUAUUUUAUUAAAUAGGGUUGAGGUGCAGAAUUUUUAAAAAAAUAUGUUUUUUAAUUAUCCUAAAGUUUAUAUAUGUGAGUGUAAUGUACAUUUUAAUCAUACAUUUUAGUUUAAUUGUUUACUAUUUUUCACACAUUAUUUAACUUUUUGUUAUUUAAAUGCUGUGAAAAUAAAAGCUUUAACCUCAGAAACAUCAGGAGAAGAGUUUAAACAUUAACUGAAGAGAUAUUUUUUGCUUUUCGGGGAUCGAAAUGGCGGACGAAAAGCUCGAGAGGAACGUUCUUUGUAUAAAAAGUUAUUUGCAUAAAUAACAAUUUGAACUUUUAAUAA